rnacentral:rRNA from 1 species
AGAGUUUGAUCCUGGCUCAGGACGAACGCUGGCGGCGUGCCUAACACAUGCAAGUCGAACGGGACCAGGGGCAACUCUGGUUCAGUGGCGGACGGGUGCGUAACACGUGAGGAACAUGACCUUCGGCGGGGGAUAGCCGGCCCAACGGCCGGGUAAUACCGCGUACGACCUUUCGGGGACAUCCCCGGAUGGUGAAAGUAGCAAUGCGCCGAUGGAGUGCCUCGCGGCCUAUCAGCUAGUUGGUGGGGUAAUGGCUCACCAAGGCGACGACGGGUAGCUGGUCUGAGAGGAUGGCCAGCCACAUUGGGACUGAGACACGGCCCAGACUCCUACGGGAGGCAGCAGUGGGGAAUAUUGCGCAAUGGACGAAAGUCUGACGCAGCGACGCCGCGUGUGGGAUGACGGUCUUCGGAUUGUAAACCACUGUCGGGAGGGACGAAUACGCCGCAAGGCGGGUGACGGUACCUCCAAAGGAAGCACCGGCUAACUCCGUGCCAGCAGCCGCGGUAAUACGGAGGGUGCGAGCGUUGUCCGGAAUCACUGGGCGUAAAGGGCGCGUAGGCGGCCUGAUAAGUAGGGGGUGAAAUCCUGCGGCUUAACCGCAGGGCUGCCUUCUAAACUGUCGGGCUCGAGCACAGUAGAGGCAGGUGGAAUUCCCGGUGUAGCGGUGGAAUGCGUAGAGAUCGGGAAGAACAUCAGUGGCGAAGGCGGCCUGCUGGGCUGUUGCUGACGCUGAGGCGCGACAGCGUGGGGAGCAAACAGGAUUAGAUACCCCGGUAGUCC